rnacentral:rRNA from 1 species
GACGAACGCUGGCGGCGUGCUUAACACAUGCAAGUCGAACGGAAGGGCCUGCUUUCCCUUGUGGAUUGCGGGUACUCGAGUGGCGAACGGGUGAGUAACACGUGAGUUAUCUGCCCCCAACUUGGGUAUAAGCCUGGGAAACUGGGUCUAAUUCCCGAUAGGACUGCAGGGUGGUGCCUGUGGUGGAAAACGAUUUUCUAGUGGUUGGGGAUGAGCUCGCGGCCGAUCAGCUUGUUGGUGGGGUAAUGGCCUACCAAGGCGGGGACGGGGAGCCGGCCUGGGAGGGCGGACGGCCACAUUGGGACUGAGAUACGGCCCAGACUCCUACGGGAGGCAGCAGUGGGGAAUAAGGCACAAUGGGCGGAAGCCUGAUGCAGCGACGCCGCGUGGGGGAUGACGGCCUUCGGGUUGUAAACUCCUUUCGACCGCGAGGAAGCCACCUGGUUGGAAGGGUGGUGACGGUAGUGGUAGAAGAAGCACCGGCUAACUACGUG